UAAUUGAUUGCUUUCCCGCUUAAUGCUUAUCAAUAAUUGGUGUAACCGAGCAACCAAACCCGAGACCAAACCUCCCAAAUGAAUGGAAACGCGACAUGAGUUGAAAGCUCCUUUAAUUGAACGAAUUAGGACAAAUUUCUUGUGAAAAUGAAUACUGAUACCAAUGGAAUCGAAAGCGGAAACGUGAAGAAAAUAAUAACAAAUGAUUGCAGACAAAACUUGUGUACCUGACUUUGUACGAACUUUGUUCUCAACGACAAGGUGUUUCUGUGUCGCGCUCUCGACACCACGAGGUUGGGCCUGCCUAGCCAAGGAAACCAGUUUAUCCAGAAAGAUGCGGCCUAAAAGCAGUUUAGUGUGAGAAAGCCAUCAUGCAGCUAUUGCUACUUCAAAAUCAAAAAGGCGAUGU